UAGCCGUAAAAUUUACUUACAACUAAAACGCCCGGGAAUUACGAGCGCAAGCUUAAAACCCAAAGGAUUUGACGGUGUCCCACCCACCUAGAGGAGCCUGUUCUAUAAUCGAUGAUCCACGAUACACCUCACCACUUUUAGCUCUACAGCCUGUAUACCUCCGUCGACAACUUACCGUUUGAGCGCCACAAAGUUAGUUCAACGGCCUCCACGCCAACACGUCAGGUCAAGGUGCAGCCUACAAAGUGGGAAGUAAUGGGCUACAAUUUCUAGUAUAGAAGAAACGAACUGCUACCUGAAACACAGCCAUGAAGGCGGAUUUAGUAGUAAAAGAAAGACAGCAAACUUCUUUUAACCGAGCCCUGGGACGUGUACAAACCGCCCGUCACCCUCUUCAACAGCAAAACAAAACUUCUUAAUAUCUAACAGCACACCAGAAGAGGCAAGUCGUAACAUGGUAAGUGUACUGGAAAGUGCACUUGGUUAAAUCAAAGUAUAGCUUAAUUAAAGCCUUUCGCUUACACCGAAAAAACAUCUGUUCAACCCCGAUUACUUUGAGCCCUAAAUCUAGCCCAUAUAUUAUUAAUGCCCUCUCCACAAAACAGCAAACCACAAUUAAAACAUUUUAACACUUUAGUAAAGGCGAUUGAAAAUACAAUCUGCGC
rnacentral:rRNA from 1 species